rnacentral:tRNA from 1 species
GGUUCCAUAGUGUAGCAGUUAGCACGUCUGCUUUCCAUGCAGAAGGUCCUGGGUUCAUGCCCCAGUGGAGCCA